rnacentral:rRNA from 1 species
ACUAGUGAUUGUGCCAGCAGCCGCGGUAAUACGUAGGGUGCGAGCGUUAAUCGGAAUUACUGGGCGUAAAGCGUGCGCAGGCGGUUUUGUAAGUCAGAUGUGAAAUCCCCGAGCUCAACUUGGGAACUGCGUUUGAAACUACAAGACUAGAAUAUGUCAGAGGGGGGUAGAAUUCCACGUGUAGCAGUGAAAUGCGUAGAGAUGUGGAGGAAUACCAAUGGCGAAGGCAGCCCCCUGGGAUAAUAUUGACGCUCAUGCACGAAAGCGUGGGGAGCAAACAGGAUUGGAUACCCUGGUAGUCCACGCCCUAAACGAUGUCUACUAGUUGUUGGUGGAGUAAAAUCCAUGAGUAACGCAGCUAACGCGUGAAGUAGACCGCCUGGGGAGUACGGUCGCAAGAUUAAAACUCAAAUGAAUUGACGGGGGCCCGCACAAGCGGUGGAUUAUGUGGAUAAAUUCGAUGCAACGCGAAAAACCUUACCUGGCCUUGACAUGUAACGAACUUUCCAGAGAUGGAUUGGUGCUCGAAAGAGAACGUUAACACAGGUGCUGCAUGGCUGUCGUCAGCUCGUGUCGUGAGAUGUUGGGUUAAGUCCCGCAACGAGCGCAACCCUUGCCAUUAAUUGCCAUCAUUUAGUUGGGCACUUUAAUGGGACUGCCGGUGACAAACCGGAGGAAGGUGGGGAUGACGUCAAGUCCUCAUGGCCCUUAUGGCCAGGGCUUCACACGUAAUACAAUGGUCGGUACAGAGGGUCGCCAACCCGCAAGGGGGAGCCAAUCCCAGAAAGCCGAUCGUAGUCCGGAUUGAGGUCUGCAACUCGACCUCAUGAA